rnacentral:rRNA from 1 species
UACGACUACAUAUCAGGCAUAUCAAUAAGCGGAGGAAAAGAAACUAACAAGGAUUCCCCUUAGUAACGGCGAGUGAAGCGGGAAGAGCUCAAAUUUGAAAUCUUCAAGGGUUUACCUUUACGAAUUGUAGUUUAAAGAAGUGUUUUCUGUUGGAGUUUCGGUAAAAGUUCUUUGGAAUAGGACAUCAUAGAGGGUGAGAAUCCCGUAUUUGACCGUUACUUUCCAGCUGUGUGAUACACUUUCAAAGAGUCGGAUUGUUUGGGAAUGCAGUCCAAGAUGGGUGGUAAAUUUCAUCUAAAGCUAAAUAUUGGCGAGAGACCGAUAGCGAACAAGUACCGUGAGGGAAAGAUGAAAAGAACUUUGAAAAGAGAGUUAAACAGUACGUGAAAUUGUCAAAAGGGAAGCGUUUGACACCAGUGUUGUUUUUUCGAAAAUCAAUUAAGAAGGGCUUGAUUUUGUGUUGUAUUGACCUUAUCAGCUUUCUUCACUCUUUUUCGAGUCUUUCUUAAUGCACUUUUCGGUUAACAAGUCAACAUCAAUUUCUUUUGUUGUAAAAGGGUAUUUGGAAGGUGGCUUUCUUUUCGGAGAAAGUGUUUAUAGCCUUAUACCUCUACAAUCGGAGAGAUUGAGGUCUGCAGCGUAGAUCCUUCGGGGCUAGAUACACUUGUGCUAAGUUAUAGCUUUUCAUAGACAACUUGUUGACUAUGUUUAGUCAUGUAGCUUACCCGCUUGUGCUAUUUUACCUACGCUUAGGAUGUUGAUCUACAGAGCGAGAGU